GGGCGAGUAGCUCAGCUGGGAGAGCGCAUCGUUCGCAACGAUGAGGUCGCCGGUUCGACCCCGGUCUCGUCCACCA
rnacentral:tRNA from 1 species